AGCAGAAUUUCUCAGCAUUCCAGAGAGAGAUUAUAUGGGGGAAGAAAGAACAAGAAAGUCAGACCUGAGCCAGGCCUGAGAGGUCAAGGCCAGCACCCCAGGGAGCCCCAUUUCCUCUCUGGCCUCUUCACACCCUUCUCCCCUCCUUCUUCUUCUUUUAACGUUUGUCUCUGCCCCCUGUUCUCUCUACAUCCCUCUUUCCCGGCUCCCUUCCCUGAGCCCCUGCUUACAGGAGGUGGCUAAUCCGCAUGUGCCGUGUGCCAGGCACAGGUUCAUGUGCUUCACAAGCGGGGACUCAUUUAAUUCCCCUGCUCUAUGUAGGAGGCACUAUGAUCACUCUCAUUUCACAGAUGAAAAAAUGGAGGCUCAAGGAGGUUAGGUGACUUGCCUGACUCACAGUAGAUGGUGGACUUGGAAGUUUGAUGGGACUCCUAUGACUGCACCCUCAGUUACAAGGUAUUUGGAUGGUCUCCGUUGUCUGAGAAACUCAGGGGCCCCCAGUGAAAUGCAGGCGAGGGUGGGAGGCAGAAAAGAGGCACAGGUGGCCCAUACUCUGGAGACCCGGUUGGGCCUCCCCACUCUCUGUUCCUUCUGUCUACACCCCAUACUGACAAUCCUGGUUUGGGCCAGGGCACAGGAUGAGGCUUGCAGCCCAUUCCUCCCGAAACACUGCUUUGGGGCUGAUUCCCUGGCCUUGGCCGACCAAAGCACUCUCAUUCAGGCUCAGGAAAGACUCCCUAGUUUAGGGAUGGCACGGGAAAGUCCAGGGGCCCUAGAGACCUAGGUACCACUCCUAGCACUCACACAUUCCCCAGAGAUGCCCUGCAGAGAGAGAACCUGGCCCAGGAAGCCUGGCUUAUGCCACACCAUAAUCCUACAAGAAAAUUCCUCAGAAUUUCAGGCUUCACUGCCCUCCUUGCUGCCUCUCCGGUGAAGGCGAGGGGCGGAUGGGAGGCCCCAUAUAAGGAUAGCAACUCAGCCAUGCCAGUCACUUGGCAUGGCCUCCAUGGCUGGCCACUCACCAGCUUCUAAAGACCAGAACAAACUGGGGACUGGGAAAGUCCUGCUUCACUUCUGGGGACACAGAACCUUCCAUUCGUGGCUCUAAACAUGGCUGAGUCCUCGCCAGGCUGGCUCUGCCUGCGUCUCACUCCCUCCUGGCUUCUGUAUCCUGCAGGGCCAGCUGCUCCACUCACUGCCUUCAGUGUGAUUUUUGUCUUCUGCUCCUUCUACAGAUUGCCUCAUAUUUCUUCCAAAUCUCCAGCUCAAAUCUCCGGCUCAAAUCUCCAAGACAGCGAUCCAGCACGGCCCUCUUAUUUAUUGGUAUUGUGAUUGGGCAGAACUCCCUCUCCAGGCCAGCUCAUUGGCUGCUUGCCAGGCUGCUGAUUGGCUGCCCUGGGACUGGGGCUUCCCUCUGGUCCAAUCAGCUAUCACCAGGGAGGUGGCGUCCUCCUCCUUGGUGAUACCGAAUGUUACUGAAUGUUGUUGCUAAGAUCAUAGACGCAGUUUUUCGUUGUUUAAGCCAGUCAUUGCUGCUAGUCCUUUGACCUGAACAGCCACCCCCUCACUACUUGGAGUCAUGCCAUAAGCCUCCGGCAAAGAGUCAGUUGCUUCUCUGCUUCCAUAUGACAGUUAAGUUGGGGUUUCUGUUAUUUGCAACCAAAGCCUCGUGGCUGACACCCAUUUCAUAGGUUUAUGGCAAGAUUGAAUGAAUUGGGACCUGUUUCAGGCUUAGCCAUGACCUCACAGAGCUGAGGUGAGGGGAUCCAGAAUGGUGCCCUGGGAAACCUGGAGGUUCCACUCCCACUCAUCAGCCUCCUUCCAACGGCCAGCAAAAAGUGACCGGCGAGGUUUGUGUUUCAUCGGUAGUCGUUGGUGGCUGCUCUGUGGUCCCAGGAUGCCUAUGCUGGAAAGGACCAGAGAAAUUAAUUCAUCCAACCGCCUACUAUCAUUUGGACCUGGGGGAACCCCAAGGCACAAACCAGGCUCUGAGAGGCCAGCUCUGGGCCAGGCCUCCCACCUGAAGAGCCAGCUUUCCAUCACCCAUAUGGUAGGGAGGGUAAUCGGCAGCCAGAGGCCUCCCCAGCCCCGCAGGGCUUGCUGAAGUCUCUCAUCAAGCCAGCCUUACAAAUGUCUCCUUGAUUCCUGGAGCCUCAUUAUUGAAGGGAUUGCGGCUGUGCCUCCAGGGUAUUAUUCAUGCCUCACUAUGUGGGCAGAAUGUCCCAGCCCAGUGCUGGGACAGGGAAGCAUGGGAAGACAGGACCAUUCCAGGAGGCAGAGGCCAAAGUGUGGAAGAUCAGCCGGCCCAGUUCCCCCAUCCCUAGCCUCGGAUAAUGCGGAAUCACUCCUUUGUUGUUUUAUGGGGUCUUCCCUGGCAUGGAUGAAAAUAAGCCCCCUUCUCACUUUCCCCCACGUGGCUCUCCAUCUGGGACCACUGAGUGGGCAUGCCUACCUCUCCCCAGUGAGCCCCACCUGGUUCUUUUACCCAUCCAUACUGGCCUCCACCUCCAGAACCCUCGCCACCCUGGUCAUUGAUGUCUGCCCUUUUUUCCAAAGUAGGGAGGACAAACUACAGCCCAAGGGCCAAAUCUGGCCCACCACUUGUUUUUGUAAAUAAAGUUUUAUUGGAGCA
rnacentral:lncRNA from 1 species